rnacentral:RNase_P_RNA from 1 species
AUGCGUGGCAAAGCGGCUGCGGGAGGAGGCGACUCCGACUGAGGAAAGUCCGAGCACGGCAGGACACGGUGGUGGGUAACGCCCACCCGCCCGAUGGUUCCGGGGCGAGGGAAAGUGCCGCAGAAAGUAAACCGCCGAUGGCCUCUGCGAUUUCAGAUCUGAGAUUUGCGAUUGCAGCGUGCACAGGCAAGGGUGAAAGGGUGCGGUAAGAGCGCACCGCCCGGCUGGUGACAGCCGGGGCAUGGUAAACCCCACCGCGUGCAAGCCCAAGCAGUUCUCCGUCUUGCGAACGCGCAUUGCGCGGCGCCUGGCACGGCUUGUCCGGCCGAUGGGAACGGGUAGGGUGCUCGGGGCCUUUGAGCCCCGGACCGCGUCGGCAACGGCGUGGCAAGAGAAAUGGCCGCUCGUGUCGGCGGCUUUGUGGCACCGGCUUCCAGCCGGUGUGCAGGAGCGGUCGGCAUUGACAGAACUCGGCUUACCAGCCGCGCAGGACC